rnacentral:sRNA from 1 species
UCACCUCUCCUUGGGGAGAGGUCGAAAUCGUGUAGCGAUUUCGGGUGAGGGG